GACGAACGCUGGCGGCGGGCUUAACACAUGCAAGUCGAACGGAAAGGCCCUGCUUUUGUGGGUUUCUCGAGUGGCGAACGGGUGAGUAACAUGUUAGUAACCUGCCCUUGACUUUGUGAUAACUUCAUGAAACUGGGGCUAAUACCGUAUAGGAGCUCCUUCUGCAUGGUGGGGGUUGGAAAGUUUCGGCGGUUGGGGAUGGACUCGCGGCUUAUCAGCUUGUUGGUGGGGUAGUGGCUUACCAAGGCUUUGACGGGUAGCCGGCCUGAGAGGGUGACCGGCCACAUUGGGACUGAGAUACGGCCCAGACUCCUACGGGAGGCAGCAGUGGGGAAUAUUGCACAAUGGGCGGAAGCCUGAUGCAGCAACGCCGCGUGCGGGAUGACGGCCUUCGGGUUGUAAACCGCUUUCGCCUGUGACGAAGCGUGAGUGACGGUAAUGGGUAAAGAAGCACCGGCUAACUACGUG
rnacentral:rRNA from 1 species